AUUUUUUCCAAGAAAAAGGCUCUUUUUUAAACCGUACCUUAAACCGCCACAGGUAGAUGGGUUGAGAACACUAAGGCCUUGAGAUAACCCCGUUGAAGGAACUCGGCAAAAUGACUCUGUAACUUCGGAAUAAGGAGUAAAAAGUAGUGCGAAAGCUCUUCUUUUUGGCACAUAAUUGGGGGUAGCGACUGUUUAUUAAAAACACAGGUCUCUGCUAACUCGUAAGAGGUUGUAUAGGGACUGACACCUGCCCGGUGCCGGUAGGUAAAGACCCGGUGUUUACGCAUUGGUAUCAAACCCCGGUAAACGGCGGCUGUAACUAUGACGGUCCUAAGGUAGCGAAAUUCCUUGUCGGGUAAGUUCCGACCCGCAUGAAUGGUGUAACGACUUCCCCGCUGUCUCCAACGGGGUCUCAGUGAAAUUACAAAGGUCGUGAAGAUGCGACCAUCCUACAGCUAGACGGAAAGACCCCGUGCACCUUUACUAUAUGCAACUAUUGUAACUCAAAGGUUUUAGUGUAGAAUAGGUGGGAGCUUGUGAUUUAAUUUCUACGGAGAUUAUCGAGGCGUUAGUGAAAUACCACCCAAAGAUCUGUUGGUUUACUAACUUGCGGACAGUGGUUGCUGGGUAGUUUGACUGGGGCGGUCGCCUCCUAAAGAGUAGCGGAGGCAUGCAAAGGUAGGCUCAUUUCCAAUAAUGGUGAAUCGAGCAUAAUGGUAAAAGCCUGCUUGACUGUAAGAAAAACAUUUCGAUCAGAGACGUAAGUCGGUCAUAGUGAUCCGGUAAUUCUUUGUGGAAGGGUUAUCGCGCAAUGGAUAAAAGGUACGCCGGGGAUAACAGGCUAAUGAUCCUCUAGAGCUCCUAUCGACGGGUUCGUUUGGCACCUCGAUGUCGACUCAUCACAUCCUGGAGCUGAAAAGGGUUCCAAGGGUUCGGUUGUUCGCCGACGAAAGUGGUACGUGAGUUGGGUUUAGAACGUCGUGAGACAGUUUGGUCCCUAUCUUCUGUGGGUGUUUGAAAACUCCGAGGACUAUACCUUAGUACGAGAGGACCAGGAAAACUCGAUCCCUGGUGUUCCGGUUGUU
rnacentral:rRNA from 1 species